AAGCCUGAUGCAGCGACGCCGCGUGAGGGAUGACGGCCUUCGGGUUGUAAACCUCUUUCAGCAGGGAAGAAGCCACAAGUGACGGUACCUGCAGAAGAAGCGCCGGCUAACUACGUGCCAGCAGCCGCGGUAAUACGUAGGGCGCAAGCGUUGUCCGGAAUUAUUGGGCGUAAAGAGCUCGUAGGCGGUUUGUCGCGUCUGCUGUGAAAGCCCGGGGCUUAACCCCGGGUGUGCAGUGGGUACGGGCAGACUAGAGUGCAGUAGGGGAGACUGGAAUUCCUGGUGUAGCGGUGGAAUGCGCAGAUAUCAGGAGGAACACCGAUGGCGAAGGCAGGUCUCUGGGCUGUUACUGACGCUGAGGAGCGAAAGCAUGGGGAGCGAACAGGAUUAGAUACCCUGGUAGUCCAUGCCGUAAACGUUGGGCACUAGGUGUGGGGGACAUUCCACGUUUUCCGCGCCGUAGCUAACGCAUUAAGUGCCCCGCCUGGGGAGUACGGCCGCAAGGCUAAAACUCAAAGGAAUUGACGGGGGCCCGCACAAGCGGCGGAGCAUGCGGAUUAAUUCGAUGCAACGCGAAGAACCUUACCAAGGCUUGACAUAUACCGGAUCGUUCCAGAGAUGGUUCUUCCCCUUUGGGGUCGGUAUACAGGUGGUGCAUGGUUGUCGUCAGCUCGUGUCGUGAGAUGUUGGGUUAAGUCCCGCAACGAGCGCAACCCUCGUUCCAUGUUGCCAGCACGUGAUGGUGGGGACUCAUGGGAGACUGCCGGGGUCAACUCGGAGGAAGGUGGGGAUGACGUCAAAUCAUCAUGCCCCUUAUGUCUUGGGCUUCACGCAUGCUACAAUGGCCGGUACAAAGGGUUGCGAUACUGUGAGGUGGAGCUAAUCCCAAAAAGCCGGUCUCAGUUCGGAUUGAGGUCUGCAACUCGACCUCAUGAAGUCGGAGUCGCUAGUAAUCGCAGAUCAGCAACGCUGCGGUGAAUACGUUCCCGGGCCUUGUACACACCGCCCGUCAAGUCACGAAAGUCGGUAACACCCGAAGCCG
rnacentral:rRNA from 1 species